GAAUAUUGCGCAAUGGGCGAAAGCCUGACGCAGCGACGCCGCGUGGGGGAUGAAGCAUUUCGGUGUGUAAACCCCUGUUGCUCGGGACGAACAAGCCUUUUCGAGGGCUCUGACGGUACCGGGUGAGGAAGCACCGGCUAACCCUGUGCCAGCAGCCGCGGUAAUACAGAGGGUGCGAGCGUCGUCCGGAAUCACUGGGCGUAAAGGGCGCGUAGGCGGCCGAUCAAGUGUGUGGUGAAAGCCUGGGGCUCAACCCCGGGUCUGCCGUGCAAACUGGUUGGCUUGAGCACUGUAGAGGCAGGUGGAAUUCCGGGUGUAGCGGUGGAAUGCGUAGAGAUCCGGAAGAACACCGGUGGCGAAGGCGGCCUGCUGGGCAGUAGCUGACGCUGAGGCGCGACAGCGUGGGGAGCAAACAGG
rnacentral:rRNA from 1 species